AUGCCGUACGCCGGCGUAUCUGUCAUCUCUGAUGGUAAGCUGCAAUCUGCAUCGGUCGUCGUCUGCGGCGCGGCCAGCGGCUACCGUCUGUUCAUUGUGGAUGGCUACUCACGCAGCAAGGAGAACACGCCCAACGGGAAGAGCAUCAAGUCUAGGCCUUUUAGGGUGGGAGGCUACUGGUGGGUCAUCCUGUACUCGCUCAACGGCGAGCGCUCCCAAGACGAGGGCCACACUUCCAUUACCCUUGCUCUCGACCAGGAUGUUUCGCGCCAUGUCAAGGUGCAGUUCGAGUUCAGUUUCAUCGACCAGAUCGACAAGCAGAAGUCAGCACGCAUUCGCUCAUCCGAAGUAGCCUCUCUUUCGACUGGCACCUCAUGUGGCCACCAUAGGUGGAUGAAGAGCGGGGACUUUGAGGCGUCCAGACAUCUCAGGGAUGACAAUUUCAUCAUCCGGUGCGACUUGUUUGUUGCCACGGCCGUCGGUAGCUUUGCUCCCACCCCGACCAUUGAGGUGCCCAAGCCGGAUGUACUCUGGCAAUUCGGAGAUCUUCUUCAAACCAAGUUGGGCGUGGACGUGACGUUCGAGGUCGGUGGCGAGACGUUCGCCGCGCAUCGGUGUGUGCUUGCAACUCGGUCCUCGGUCUUCAGGGCGCAGCUCUUUGGCUCCAUGAUGGAGGUUACUACUAGUGUCAUACACAUAGAAGAUAUGGCACCAAGUGUGUUCAGGGCCUUGCUAACUUUCAUCUACAAUGACUCGCUGCCCAAGAGGGAGGUUGACAAUAUGGAGGAGGAUGAAGAUGAAGGAGACACGGACGAGGACGAGUCGGAAGAAGAAUAUGAUGAAGAGGACGAACAAGUGACGUGGCUGCAGCACUUGCUCGUAGCGGCGGAUAGGUACGAUCUCCCAAAACUCAAGUUGAUGUGCGAAGACGAGUUGUGUGAGCACCUAGACGUGAGCUCGGUGGCGACUAUUCUUGAUCUAGCCGAGCAGUACCACUGUUGUCGCCUGAAGGAGGCGUGCGUGCAGUUCGUGCGAUUCCUGUCUCCCGCAAAGUUACAUAUCUUAUUGCGUACCAAAGGCUGGAAGCAUAUAGCUAAAACCUAUCCAGAUGUUGUGAACGAGCUCAUAGUAAAGCUUGCUUCCAAAUUCUACUGA
rnacentral:rRNA from 1 species